CCUUCAAACAUCGAUCGUUAAAAGGAAAUGUAAAAGUGAUAAAGCGUUAACAAAUUACUUUCCAAAUAACACGAAUAACUCCUAAAGAUCCUCCUUCUAUUCACAGCAAUAGGGACGUGUUAAAUAUCAUUAUAAUCUUCUUUAUGCACCAAGAGCUUGUAACACUCAGAAGAGAAAGGAAAAUUUGAAAUUGCAUCUUAUGACCCUGUUAACUGCUGGCCAGUCCACCAUUUUUUCUCUCUAGCUUUGGAUGUUAGAAGCAGGAGGUUUUCGCGGUGGAUCGCUACAGUGUGAAGGGUCAAGGCCAAAAAACCAUACUGGAUGACUGUGAUCUUCGGGCCCUUAUAGACGGCACUGCAUCACAUACAGGAAUGCUACUGUAAUGGAAAUCACAACAUGGGCUUAGGAAUACUUCCAGAAAACAUUGUCGGUGAACACAAUCCACCGUGCCAUUCGCUGU
ensembl:lncRNA